CCUACGGGUGGCUGCAGUGAGGAAUAUUGGUCAAUGGACGAGAGUCUGAACCAGCCAAGUAGCGUGAAGGAUGACUGCCCUAUGGGUUGUAAACUUCUUUUAUAUGGGAAUAAAACGUUCCACGUGUGGGAUUUUGUAUGUACCAUAUGAAUAAGGAUCGGCUAACUCCGUGCCAGCAGCCGCGGUACUACGGAGGAUCCGAGCGUUAUCCGGAUUUAUUGGGUUUAAAGGGAGCGUAGGUGGAUUGUUAAGUCAGGUGUGAAAGUUUGCGGCUCAACCGUAAAAUUGCAGUUGAAACUGGCAGUCUUGAGUACAGGAGAGGUGGGCGGAAUUCGUGGUGUAGCGGUGAAAUGCUUAGAUAGCACGAAGAACUCCGAUUGCGAAGGCAGUUCACUGGACUGCAACUGACACUGAGGCUCGAAAGUGUGGGUAUCAAACAGGAUUAGAUACCCCAGUAGUC
rnacentral:rRNA from 1 species